GCGAUGUUUAGCGAUUCAAUAUACCCACAGAAAAAUACUCUUGCUAACCCAUUUGUUGUUGCCUUCAACAACUGAAUUCAAAAACACAAUUCUUUUAAACCAAAACCCAGAAAAAUAGAAAGAUCCAAGCCAAAAAUCUCUGAUUUUCGAGCACAAAAUCAAACCAAAACCCCCAGCAAAAUCGAACACGAAAACCCCCAUACAAAUCGAGCAAAAAACCCCCCAAUUCGAGCAGAAGUUCGGUGUAUAAACCCCCAGCAAAUUCGAAUGUAAACCCCAGAAUAAUCGAAAAAUUUCCAGCCAAAAACCCCCCAAGUCGAGCAAAAAUUCCAACCUAAACCCCCAACAAUUUCGAACCCUAAAAACCCCAGAAAAAUCGAACAUUUUGAGCAAAAAACCCCCCAGUUAGAGAAGAAAUUCAAACCUAAAACCCCAACAAAUUCGAACCCAAAAAACCCAGAAAAAUCAAACAUUUUUUGGCCAAAAACCGCCCAAUUUGAGCAAAUAUUCAUACCUUAACCCCAGCAAAUUCGUACCCUAAAAACCCUAGAAAAAUUAAACAUUUUGGAGCCAAAAACCCCCCAAUUAUUCGAGCAGAAAUUCGAACCUCAACCCAAAGCAGUAAAAUACCCCAAUUCGAGCUCAAAAUCAGUGCUAAACACCCUAGAAAAUUCAAGCAAAACCCCCUAAAAACUUAUUAUAUUUUACCCCAUAAAACCUAGAAAUUUCGACCUAAUUAGAGGAAAAGUUCCGUGAAGUUCGACCCAUUGUAGCAGUCAAUUUGUGAAGUCAAUUUCAGCUAAGUUCGACCCAUUGGUUCUUGUUGUUAUGUUAAAUAUUUUCACGGUAGAUAAAUUUCAGCAUUUAACUUGAACAAGUACUUAGUUUAAUUGCAAAAAUAGUGUUAGUUCAUUAGAAAAUAAUUUUUAGCUUGUUUGGCUUUUGUUGGUUUAAUUAAUAUAUGUAAAUUUAUGUCAGAUUUCUCAACUAUGUGGAAGUGAAUUCCUUAAGUUCCACGAGUACAAUUGAGGCGGUAGUACACAUACGACAUUGUCUUCGCUUGUGGCCCUUGUAAGUUGCAACUAUGUUUCCAUUCAUGAAUCCUGAUUGUAUCCUCGGAUUUGAGGGAGGAUGAUAUGCUUAAGAAGCUUGGAGACCUUGUGAAUGAGAGUCAUUAUAGCUGUAGUGUUCUCUAUGAAUGCAGGAUUUUUCAAGAUCUACACCGUAUAAAGAGGAGGAGAUAAACGAGGUUUAAGAUAUUUGGGCAGACUAUUUUAUAUGCUAUGUUAAACUUUAGAUCUACACUUAGCAAACUCCAUUUACUUAUUAGACUCUUGUUUUAUUUGUUAGGCUUGACAUGAAUGUAUUUGGUUUACCAACAAUUUGGGUUGGUAUUGGUGAUUGUGUUGGAUGAUGACCAUCAUGUCAAUGAUAUUGAGUUGUAAAUUUAUUGGACAGGUUUAUAAUAUGCCGCCGUCAUUCCCAAUUUUAUGGGUAGGCCAAAAUACAAAGGAGACUCUACCGAAAUUUACAUUUGCAUUCAA